UACGUAGGGGGCAAGCGUUGUCCGGAAUUAUUGGGCGUAAAGCGCGUGUAGGCGGCUCGGUAAGUCUGCUGUGAAAGUCCAAGGCUCAACCUUGGAAAGCCGGUGGAUACUGUCGAGCUCGAGUCCGGAAGAGGCGAGUGGAAUUCCUGGUGUAGCGGUGAAAUGCGCAGAUAUCAGGAGGAACACCAAUGGCGAAGGCAGCUCGCUGGGACGUUACUGACGCUGAGACGCGAAAGCGUGGGGAGCAAACAGG
rnacentral:rRNA from 1 species